AGUGAACGCUGGCGGUAGGCCUAACACAUGCAAGUCGAACGGCAGCACAGGAGAGCUUGCUCUCUGGGUGGCGAGUGGCGGACGGGUGAGGAAUACAUCGGAAUCUACCUUUUCGUGGGGGAUAACGUAGGGAAACUUACGCUAAUACCGCAUACGACCUACGGGUGAAAGUGGGGGACAGCAAGGCCUCACGCGAUUAGAUGAGCCGAUGUCCGAGUAGCUAGUUGGGGGGGUAAUGGCCCACCAAGGCGACGAUCGGUAGCUGGUCUGAGAGGAUGAUCAGCCACACUGGAACUGAGACACGGUCCAGACUCCUACGGGAGGCAGCAGUGGGGAAUAUUGGACAAUGGGCGCAAGCCUGAUCCAGCCAUACCGCGUGGGUGAAGAAGGCCUUCGGGUUGUAAAGCCCUUUUGUUGGGAAAGAAAUCCUGUCGAUUAAUACUCGGUGGGGAUGACGGUACCCAAAGAAUAAGCACCGGCUAACUUCGUGCCAGCAGCCGCGGUAAGAC
rnacentral:rRNA from 1 species